GAACAUUUUAAUUAGUAGCCUGACGUCAUCAUACUCAGAUUCUAGUCAGAAUAUGAAUCUGAUACUGCUCCAUGGGGCUGUUAUUAUGGGGCGUGUUUCAACCAUACCAGGAAAGAAAAUGUCUC